UGGGGGCUGGGGAGAUGAGCGGAGAAAGGCAAAAGGCAGGAGCGCAGCACCUCCUGGAUACAGAUCAGACGAGAGGUUCUGCCACAAAUCACCUAGAAACAUGUCAGACGCUGCAUGUUUGUUGUUUUACACUGAGGGCACAGCCGUAGUCCAAAAGUAUUGAUUCUUUUCUUUGUACAGAGACAGAAACUGUCAGCUCUUGCUGGCUGACCUUGGUACAGCUCCGACAACUAUUCCCCACCCUGCCUACCAGAUGAACCCCACAGGAAAAGUCUGGGGAAGAUAUGCCAAUGUCCGCUUCACGCAAACAGAGAGUAGACCCAAACCUCCUGGAGCAAUCCCCUUCUUCCCCCAAGGGGGGAAUCGGCCGUAGUAGCUCCGCGCUGGAUGUUCUGUGACAUUGAGAAUUCAACACCCCUCCCCACCCAGGGCAUGAAAAAAUUAGGGAAUGAAAUUCAAUAAAAAAUAAUAAAAAUUCCAAGAAUUCAAUAUUACUUUAAUGAUCACCCCCCACCCCGGGCCCGGUAGAUAUUGAGGAAAGGCUCGCUUCAUUUUAGCAGAAGGAGAAAGCAGCAUUUCCAUUCUGUUCCCUCCAUGCCUUAUUCUUUUAAGUGACUGGCAAGGGGAAAUGGGAAACAGGCCCGUUUGAGCUAAUCAGAGUCAGGAAUAUUCCAAUAGGAUUGCAAUUAUUUGUGGUGUUCUAAUAAAAUGUGAGCAUAAAAAAUGUGACCACGUUUCUGGGAAUAUUCGUGUUAAAAGUCUGAACUUUCGGUUGCCUUUUUAUAGCACACAGUGGUGCGUAUGGGUUCAUCAUGGUGCAUUUUCUGAGUUCAGUUCCCCUACUCGUUUUAUUUUUUAAGUUGCAGAUUGCAGGGGAAAGGUUAAAUAAGCAAGGCUUAAUGGUCCACCAUCAUCUGGCUAAAAUGUAAGGAAAUAAUUUCUUGUGAAAAGGGAUGUGAUCAUUUAAAAACAUACCCAACUUGCCUAAAUUCUGUAGCAGUUUUGGCAGAGUUUCCACUGUUAAGUUUUUGUUACUAAUCUUGUUCUUCAUCUGUUCUUUGAUGUGGCACACUGCCAUUUUGAUACACCAGCACCAGGCUUUAGUAAUUGAUCAAUUAGUUAUCUGUUUUGCUAUGGCUUUUUUUUUUUUUGGAAUGUCAACCUCAUUUCCCGACGCUAUCCCAUUUUUAAAUAACAAUUUAAAAUGUCACUUGUUUUCCAUAUGUAUUACUAUUCAGCAAGUUGCUUUUGUGUUUGUUUUAUAAAUGAGAGAGACCUGAUGUCUUGGUAUUUUGAGUAAGUUGUGACACAGAGAAUGUAAACAGGGUUUUAGACCAGGGAAAGAUGUUGCAUAUGUUAACAAUUGCUAAUGAGCAAUGCAAAUGCCUUUAUCGGCUCAAUAAAUAACAUCAUGCCUGCUGUUUGUCUCUUACUGUGGACAAUGGUAAACUAUAGUGUUUUUUAAACAGUGUAUCAGAACAGCAUCUUGGUUUUCAGAGGGGAAAUGCUGAAAUAUGAGAGUAUUUUAAAAACUGAUUUUUAUAAUAAGAUUAAAAUUGUGUUUUUAAGUACAUUGAUAAAUCUUAUUCAUUUAAAUAUAUAUAUAUAUUCUCCACCUUUCUAAUUUUGUCUUUUCUUUAAAAAACAACAACACUCAAGGCAGCUCACAGCAUCAAGAACAAUCCUUCACAAAACACAUUAAAGACCUACAAUAUGAAAGAGAUAGGGGGACAGUAGUUCAAAACUCAUAAAUAGUUUCAGUCAGCAUAAAACAAUCAACAGCUUAAACAGCUGUCUGUCAAAACACAAAGGAAAACCAUCAAGGCUGAGCAAGGUGGGUAGAGAAUUCCAGAGCCUGGGCACAACAACAGGGAUAUCCUUCUUCUGAAUCUCAAUCUAAUUAAUUGAUUAAAAGAAUUUCUAUGUCACAGUUAACUGAAGUGCCAUAGUGGUGCACAACAAUUAAAACAGCAAUAAAUAUUUGCAGCAAUACAAACUUGAGAGCAACAGUACAGUGAUCAGAAUACAGCAGGCAGAGAGCAGUGGUUAACACAACUGAAACGAAGCCCACUGAAGGAGACUAUAGAAAUUGGAGACGAGGUUGUUAGACCAUUUCCCUAGGAAGGGUCUUCUGUUAAUCUCAGGUCCUGUUCCUGAUGGAGACUCCUGAUGGCAUCACCAUAAGAUGGAAUCUGGAGCAGGGCCUCAUCAGUGUUGUCAUUCCUUUACUGGAAAAUCCCAUUUUUGUUAUCAAAAGCUAUGGAGGCUCCAGUCAAGCCAAUUGCAGUUCAUAUGUAGGUCAGUUGUAGAGGCUGGCCUCUUCAACAGGCUUUUACUUUGAUUAUGAAUGAAGGAAUUUUCUAGGUAACACUAUGUGGAAUAGAAAUUACAUUACAUUCAUUCAUUCAAUCAAUCAAUCAAUCAAUCAAUCAGGCUGCUAUUGCUUUCAAACAUUUGUUCUCAAGUUGUAUCACCAAUCAAAAGCUUCAUCAGAUGGUUGUGUUUAAUUAUGUUUCGAUUUAUGUUUCGUUUUUAAUUACGUUUUGAUCUCUUUUUUGGGAGGGGGAGGGAUUUUGACAAGGCUGCCUGAGGUCAUAGGAAGUCUCUUUUUGCACUCACAACCAUAGAUCAAAACAAGAUCAAAGCAAGGAGUACAGCGCUUUGUGUAUUUGUGUAGAGAAUUCCAAGGCGGAGUCAGGAAUCUGAAUACUAACCAUCACCAAAGGGUUGGUGUAAGGAUGAUGAGACAUCAGGGAGCAACGAACAGAGCAAUAGGAAAAUCAGGGGCCUGGUGGCCUGGAAAUUAAUUACCAGAUGUAGACUGAAUGCCACUUCUGAAUAUUGUUACUUGCCUUGGCCAGUUUACGAACAACAUUGCCAGUUCAUCAGAUUUGCUGAAAGAAGCCCACCACUGUGCCUGAAAGGGGUGUAUGUGUGUGUCUAAAUCAUAGCUGUCAACUUUACCCUUUUAUAAAGGGAAAUUCCCUUAUUCCAAAUAGGAUUCCUCGCAAGAAAAGGGAAAAGUUGACAGCUAUGGUUUAAAUCUUGAUAUGAACAGAGGGGCAACUUGGGGAAGCCAUCCCUCUGUUUCAGACUUCAUAUAAUUAUUCUACAGUAGUUGUUAUGUUGCAGACUGACCUCGAUACAAAAGAUUACUAUUGUUUGGAAGAAAUAAAACAUAUUUUAGCACAAAAUGUCAUGUGAUCAGCAACACUAAUACAUUUGCAAUCAUGUGGCAUUCCAUUCUUAUCAUAUUUUGUUUAAAGGCUAUAAUCCUUGUAGAAUCCAGUCGAUAUACAUAUAGUCUGCUUUCAAUAUAGGUAUCCUCUCUUGGUUUGCUGCCCAGCAGUUUACUCAGUAAUAUUUUGGCAAACCCAUUUGCCUUUCCAUUGUGCAGGAUACACACGAAUGUUACACUUGCAGUGUGAUGUUCGUCUUUGAAAAUGUCAUUUGGUUUUUGUCUUGUUAGUCUCUAGUUUGAUUUCUUAGACAUGGUUAUGAAUCACUAUCUAAUGUGUAGGUCUUUUGAAAUCACACCCAAGGUUUAUUGUCAGUAACAGGCUAGUGGCCUUAUGUGGACUUUCCAUGAAUAAAGCAGAUUGAUGAGCCAUUUUAUGGCAUUGCAAGCUUGUAUUAUAAAUACAUCAUCCUUCUCAGUAAUUCAGUGUGAAGAACAAUCUAAUGAACUCCCAGACAUGGUAUUUUGGAUAACUUGGAAAUGCUGUUUAGCUGACUGAUUCAAUACAAUAAAUUGUAAAAUUUCUAAUGUUUCCUCCCUACUUUUAGUGGUACUUUUGAAAUCCAAAGUACCAUGAAUCAAAGCUGGAAUAACAAUAAAACCCAGUCAAGAGUAGGAAUCCUUUAGGCUUCAAUAUUUAAUAAACCUGGUUUGAUUUUUGGUUUUGGAUAUUAAAAAGCUUUACACAUUGGUGCUGUUCCUUUGAAUAGAAUCCAGAAUUGUGAAAUCCAUAUAAGGCAUAUUGUGGUGUCUCUUUCAGACUAUGAACAUUC